AGAAAACAUAAUUUGAUUUGAGUUUGUCCAAACUUCUUCAGUGCAUAUUAUAUGAAUUGUGUAUUGCUGUUUUUUAUUGAAAAAACAAACAAACAGCUCCUAUUCUGAUGAUUAAUGAAAUUAAAUGUCACAUUAUUUAUUGAAUUCUGUUGUUUUACAGUAUUAAUUUCAGCCACGACUCAUCCUUUCUGUGUGCAUCGAGUGACAAGGGAACAGUGCACAUAUUUGCUCUGAAAGACACUAAACUGAACCGGCGCUCUGCGUAAGAUGAAUCAUUUCACAAAAAAAAAAAAUCUUGAUUGUCAUUUCAUUACAGUUUUCGUUACAUUCUAAGUGUUAUUUAGAAAUAUCCUACUAGGUGUAGUUAGAGUCACUGGGUGUUAUGUGUGGCAUUUUGUCUUCUCUAGUUUGGCGCGUGUAGGAAAGGUGGGUCCGGUCAUCGGACAGUAUGUGGACAGUCAGUGGUCUCUGGCUAAUUUCACGGUGCCGGCUGAGUGCGCUUGCAUCUGUGCCUUCGGGAAGAACACCUCCAAAAACGUCAACUCUGUUAUUGCCAUAUGUGUUGAUGGGACAUUCCACAAGUACGUCUUCACCCCUGAUGGAAACUGCAACCGCGAGGCUUUCGACGUGUAUCUGGACAUUUGCGAUGAUGAUGAUUUCUGAGGCUGGAGAUUGAGCUGUAACUAAUGUAAACUAGUAGUCACUUAACAGCGAACUCUGCUGGUUGUUCCCGUUGCUUUUUUCUGUUAGUGUAUGUUACUGCCUUGUAUAAUCAAAUGUACAUAAAAUCAGUCCGUGAGUAAAUGUCUUGUUAACGUUUAUCUUAUCACUCCACACACAGGAGUUUCAAAGUCUGUUUACUUGUCCUUCAGAGGUACUCAACCUUUGAACACUUUGGAAUGAUUUCUCAUCAUUCUUUGUCCUGUUGGUGUGCGGUUACUCUUGAGGAAUAAGGUCUCAGUCUCAACUUUUAAGGAACUUUAUUCAUGAAAUCAAUACAGCCUUUUGGGAAUGAAUUUAUAGAGCAGGG
rnacentral:lncRNA from 1 species